rnacentral:rRNA from 1 species
UACGUAGGGUGCAAGCGUUGUCCGGAUUUAUUGGGCGUAAAGAGCUCGUAGGCGGUUUGGCAAGUCGGGUGUGAAACCUCCAGGCUCAACCUGGAGUCGCCAUCCGAUACUGCUAUGACUUGAGUCUGGUAGGGGAUCACGGAAUUCCUGGUGUAGCGGUGAAAUGCAUGGAUAUCAGGAGGAACACCGGUGGCGAAGGCGGUGAUCUGGGCCAGUACUGACGCUGAGGAGCGAAAGCGUGGGGAGCGAACGGG